UCCGCCUUAGUGGCGCCCGGGUGCCUAACGCGUGGGAAUCUGCCCUUGGGUUCGGAAUAACAGUUAGAAAUGACUGCUAAUACCAAAUGAUGUCUCAAGACCAAAGAUUUAUCGCCCAAGGAUGAGCCCGCGUCGGAUUAGCUAGUUGGUGAGGUAAAGGCUUACCAAGGCGACGAUCCUUAGCUGGUCUGAGAGGAUGAUCAGCCACACUGGGACUGAGACACGGCCCAGACUCCUACGGGAGGCAGCAGUGGGGAAUAUUGUACAAUGGGCGAAAGCCUGAUCCAGCAAUGCCGCGUGAGUGAUGAAGGCCUUAGGGUUGUAAAGCUCUUUUACCCGGGAUGAUAAUGACUGUACCGGAAGAAUAAGCUCCGGCUAACUCCGUGCCAGCAGCCGCGGUAAU
rnacentral:rRNA from 1 species